rnacentral:sRNA from 1 species
GCUAGCUCGUCGGAAAAUAAGUGUGCUGCUACAAUGGUGUAACUUUGGGCUUCCGCCUCAGUGCCAAAGUCGGUGGGGAUUGAGCCUUUCCCACACCUGAUUUUUGAAUUGUUCACUAAUGGCCAGCAUCUGAGGUUGGUUUCAAUGAUUUCCACAGUGAUGAAUCCGAAAAGGGUCCAGUUUGCCUGAAUACUUGUAGCCUCGUUCCAGCACAUUUGAAUGAUUUGAUAGGGGGCCUGCCAGCCUGGGUCCUGAGGGAAAAGGAGUGUCCUUAUUUCUUAAUCUCCGACUUGGUUACCCCCUUAUCGUCACUGACUCCAGCUUUGGCCAGAACAAAUACCGAAAAUUUUGGUGUGACAGACGGCGGGAUGGAACCAACAACCCCCCUAGUUGGCGGAUUACUAGCAUAUUGUUCUCGGAGGCUGCUAGAGCGUCUCUUUAUCCUCGGUGCGGGCCUGGGUAGCUGAAGCCUGGGCAAGGUCAUUGGACGCUUUCGAUAUUUGCCUCCACGCAACGCGACUCGCUACAAGUCUUCAAUUUGUAUUGUCAUUUCGAUUCCGGUGUAUAUCUACGAGGUACAUACUGGUAGUCACCGAUUAAUUUCCAGGUUGAUUACAACGUGCAAUAUGUGAGGUGGAGACUGGACAUAGCUUUGACUGUAUGUGGGGUAGAAGCGAGCAGCCCAAAAUUCUGUCGGAUCAUAGUAGCGUCGUUUUUUAUAUCCGCUGCACAGUAAAUCUUGGCUGGAAAGCUUUCGGCGUGGUUUUCACGUUGACCUUAGGGUACAUCCACAUUUCCACAGCGUAUAUGCUUUUGAUGAGG